rnacentral:rRNA from 1 species
GAUGAACGCUGGCGGCAUGCCUAACACAUGCAAGUCGAGCGGACAGACGAGGAUCUUGCUCCGCUGACGUUAGCGGCGCGUGAGAGAGUAACCUGUGGAUGAGCUCCCUAGCUGGAAAGGACCACUUAGAGAAACCGGGGCUAAGACCGGAUAAUAGAAUCAACCCCAGGGUGGGCUAGCGUCAGACGGUUUUGCUGGCAAUUCAAGAUGGUUCCGCGGCGCAUUAGCUAGUUGGGAAGGUAACGGCUUACAAAGACAACGAUCCAUAGCCGACCUGCGAGAUGGACCGGCCACACUGGAACUGAGACACGGUCCAGACUCCGACGGGAGGCAGCAGUAGGGAAUCUUGCGCAAUGGGCGAAAGCCUGACGGAGCAACGCCGCGUGAGUGAAGAAGGCCUUCGGGUCGUAAAGCACUGUUAUUAGGGAAGAACAAAUGUUUAAGUAACUAUGCACGUAUUGACGGUACCUGAGGAGAAAGCCACGGCUAACUACGUG